rnacentral:rRNA from 1 species
UACGGAGGGGGCUAGCGUUGCUCGGAAUCACUGGGCGUAAAGCGCGCGUAGGCGGCCCUGUAAGUCCGUUGUGAAAGUCAAAGGCUCAACCUUUGAAUGCCGAUGGAUACUGCAGGGCUAGAGUCCGGAAGAGGCGAGUGGAAUUCCUGGUGUAGCGGUGGAAUGCGCAGAUAUCGGGAGGAACACCCGUAGCGAAGGCGGUUCUCUGGGCCAAUACUGACGCUGAGGAGCGAAAGCGUGGGGAGCAAACAGG